UACAGAGGUCCCGAGCGUUGUUCGGAUUCAUUGGGCGUAAAGGGUGCGUAGGUGGCGCCGUCAGUCAGGUGUGAAAUUUCGGAGCUUAACUCCGAAACUGCAUUUGAUACUGCGGUGCUUGAGGACUGGAGAGGAGACUGGAAUUCACGGUGUAGCAGUGAAAUGCGUAGAUAUCGUGAGGAAGACCAGUGGCGAAGGCGGGUCUCUGGACAGUGCCUGACACUGAGGCACGAAGGCCAGGGGAGCAAACGGG
rnacentral:rRNA from 1 species